rnacentral:rRNA from 1 species
CCUACGGGGGGCUGCAGUGAGGAAUAUUGGUCAAUGGGCGCGAGCCUGAACCAGCCAAGUCGCGUGAGGGAAGACGGUCCUAUGGAUUGUAAACCUCUUUUGUCGGGGAGCAAAAGACGCCACGCGUGGCGUUCCGAGAGUCCCCGAAGAAAAAGCAUCGGCUAACUCCGUGCCAGCAGCCGCGGUAAUACGGAGGAUGCGAGCGUUAUCCGGAUUUAGUGGGUUUAAAGGGUGCGCAGGCGGAAGAUGAAGUCAGCGGUAAAAUUGAGAGGCUCAACCUCUUCGAGCCGUUGAAACUGGUUUUCUUGAGUGAGUGAGAAGUAUGCGGAAUGCGUGGUGUAGCGGUGAAAUGCAUAGAUAUCACGCAGAACUCCGAUUGCGAAGGCAGCAUACCGGCGCUCAACUGACGCUCAUGCACGAAAGUGUGGGUAUCGAACAGGAUUAGAUACCCCAGUAGUC